GCUCCGUUGGUGAACCAGCGGAGGGAUCAUUAUCGAGUUUAUAACUCCCAAACCCUAUGUGAACUUACCACUUGUUGCUUCGGCGCGCGCUUCGGUGCCGCCGAGGACACUUAAACUCUUUGUUUUUAUAAGCAUUUCUGAGUGGCCGAAAGGCAAAAUACAAAUGAAUCAAAACUUCCAACAACGGAUCUCUUGGUUCUG
rnacentral:misc_RNA from 1 species